CGCUUCUUCGCCUUGGGGUCAGCGUCAUCCUCGUCCAGAUCUGGAACCGUUUCUUCUUUCUCUUCUUCUCAGGAUCAUCUGCGUGCAUUUGAGGGAGGGAUGAGCGGAGAGGAAACACUGGUUGAAGCGGCGUUGCGGGUUCUGAACACGGCCGACCCGGUGGAGAAGUCCAAUCUCGGCGACAACGUCGCCAGGUGGCUCCAAGUGACUACUGCAGAGAAUGGGUUGAGGGCUUUGGAGUAUUUGGGGUUGUGAGAUGAACAACACAACACUUCAAAUGACAAUGUCAGCAGACAGGCAAAUCUGUCCCCAAUUUUUCCCUUGAGAUCACUUUAUGCUAGUUGUUUGGUCUUGAAUUUCGGAAGCCAUAAAUUUUCACACUAUUUGAGGUUGGGUGCUCAAACAUUGGCUGAUAUGACACAAGAAAUCAUGAAAAUAAAUGGGUUCUCAGAUGGUGAUGUUAAAUAUUGUCCUUUAUGCUAGUGGUAUAAGAUAGAGUGCUUCCAGAUAAAGCUUUUCUUUACUUGGAGCACAAGAAUGAAUGUGAGAGGAGGGUCAGUGGCUUUGACAUGGCAGCUCCACCUUCUGCUCGCCUACCUGGUGCCCCAGGAUUUGCAGAUCAUGUCUCAACGUGGAUGCUUGCGGUAAGAAGUUACAUCGUAGCCUAGCUGACCGGUGACCAGGUAGGAUUCAUCAAAUCCGUUGGUCUAACCAGGCUUGCUGUUGGCGAAUAGUAGCUAAUCCCGUUAGGGUUUAGGUUGCUAAGUUAGGGUUUGUGUUGUUGUAUUCUAGUUGUGAUCUUCCCUGUGACUUUCUUGUUGUUUAGAUUGCCUGCGUGCCUUUAGCUAGACCAGUGUGCCAUUUUGUUUAUUGCGUUUUCAGUUGUAUUUUCUUGAAUA